rnacentral:rRNA from 1 species
GAUGAACGCUAGCUACAGGCUUAACACAUGCAAGUCGAGGGGUAACGAGAGGAAAGCUUGCUUUCCUUGUCGACGACCGGCGCACGGGUGAGUAACGCGUAUCCAACCUGCCCCCAACUAGGGAAUAACCUUGCGAAAGUAAGACUAAUACCCUAUAAUUUCCUCAGAUGUCAUCUGACGAGGAAUAAAGAUUUAUCGGUUGUGGAUGGGGAUGCGUCUGAUUAGAUGGUUGGCGGGGUAACGGCCCACCAAGGCAACGAUCAGUAGGGGUUCUGAGGGGGAGGUCCCCCACAUUGGAACUGAGACACGGUCCAAACUCCUACGGGGGGCAGCAGUGAGGAAUAUUGGUCAAUGGGCGGAAGCCUGAACCAGCCAAGUAGCGUGCAGGAUGACGGCCCUAUGGGUUGUAAACUGCUUUUAUACAGGAAUAAAGUUAGCCACGUGUGGUUAUUUGUAGGUACUGUAUGAAUAAGGACCGGCUAAUUCCGUGCCAGCAGCCGCCGUAA